rnacentral:tRNA from 3 species
GCGCCGUUUUGUCGAUAUGUUCUAGGGUGUCACCUUUUUGGUGAUAGUUGGGAUCGAAAGGCUCGUUUGCGGUGCCGCCCCACAGCUGUGCC